rnacentral:rRNA from 1 species
UACAGAGGGUGCGAGCGUUUAAUCGGAAUUACUGGGCGUAAAGCGCGCGUAGGCGGCUUUGCAAGUCGGGUGUGAAAUCCCCAGGCUUAACCUGGGAACUGCAUUCGAGACUGCAUUGCUAGAGUAUGGGAGAGGAAAGCGGAAUUUCUGGUGUAGCAGUGAAAUGCGUAGAUAUCAGAAGGAACAUCAGUGGCGAAGGCGCUUUCUGGACCAAUACUGACGAUCAGGUGCGAAAGCGUGGGGAGCAAACAGG